rnacentral:rRNA from 1 species
GAUGAACGCUGGCGGCGUGCUUAACACAUGCAAGUCGAACGGAACUACUCCAAUGAGAGUCCUCGGAAAGGAGUGGGUGUCGGGUAGUGGCGGACGGGUGAGUAACGCGUGGGUAACCUGCCCUAUACAGGGGGAUAACAGUUGGAAACGACUGUUAAUACAGCCUAAGGGCACAGGAGCGCAUGCUCCGGUGGGAAACACUCCGGGGGGAUAGGACGGAGCCGCGCCUGAUUAGCUGGUUGGCGGGGUAACGGCGCACCAAGGCGACGAUGACUAGCCGACCUGAGGUGGUGAUCGGCCACACUGGGACUGAGACACGGUCCAGACUCCUACGGGAGGCAGCAGUAGGGAAUCUUCCGCAAUGGGCGAAAGCCUGGCGGAGCAACGCCGCGUGAGUGAUGAAGGUCUUCGGAUCGUAAAACUCUGUUAUUAGGGAAGAACAUAUGUGUAAGUAACUGUGCACAUCUUGACGGUACCUAAUCAGAAAGCCACGGCUAACUACGUG